CUCCAUUGCAUCAUUGAUUCUGUGAAGCUUCUCGUAUCUAUUUUUCUUUUGCUUUCUGUUUCUUUUUCAGUCUCGUCUUUGCCGUAACGUUAUAUAUAGCUUCUUCUUUUUUUGUUUUCUAAACUCUCAAUUUGAUGCAUCAUUGCUGAUCAGUUUCUAUGCCUAUGAUAACCUGUACAUUGUUUGGUUUAGUAGAGGAAGAAAGCCAAAGGUUGUUAGCAUGGGAUAGACCACACAACUUCGUUAUUGGUCUAUCUGUUGGCAACGGAGAAUUUUGGGAUGAAACUUGAAUUUGUUGGAAUUCCGAUCUAAUGUGCUUCUUGCGUUCCUGAAAACCUCCAUCUUCAACUUGCUCAUGGACAAGUGAUUGUUGAGCAAGUUGAGAAUGGAAGUUCUCCGAGACGUUAGUCCUUCCUUUAGUUGACUUGUAUAGGUGGAUCGGAUGAAACAAUUUUCAGUGCAAAGAUCUGUUGAACAAAUAGCAAAAGACGGAUGUGAGAUAGGUCAUUGGAAAUUCUCGAACAUCACAUGGUAUUUAAGUAUUUUUUGGUAAGUUUUACCAGUGAAACGAAAAUAGCGGCAUGCAAGGUGAAUUGAAUUCCUAUUUCUGAAGUGUACAGCAGCUUAAAUCAGAGGCCAAGCUUAUUGUAUCUGUAAAUUCAAGGAAAAUAUUUUGUCAUCCACAAGUGUCUAUAUGCUGAAGAAAGGUUGGAAACUUUGAAGGGAGUGGUCAGCAAUGACGUUUAUAAAUUUUUGGCACCACGUUGUCUUGAAAAAAACAGUUUGAAGUAUUCCUGACAAAGAACGUGUCAAAAAGGAGCUUAUUCUUACCUGCUGACAUAUGCGAUCAUUCUGUAACUGCCCUUUUUGUCUGAAUUCUCUUGAAGUACACGUGGUUCUGCGAUAAUGCACGGAUUAACCACUUGCUACUGAAUCGUGGCAAAAGAUGGUGGGGGGAUCUCUUGGAUGAUUUGGAAAAUCCCUCAAGAAGUGCUUCACGACAUAGGGUAAUUUCCUAAAGGCCAAAGAGUUCUUCCUGCUGUCUUUGACAUAUAGGAAGAGUAACAUAAAUUUGACGAAAACGGCUUAAAAGUAAUGGACAUGAACAAAAAAUUAGGCAAAGUCCCAAUUUAAUAGUUUUAACAUUACUAUAGAAAUUCACAUAUCCAAUAAACAAAAACAAUUCACCUAAAGAAAGCAUAUAACAAAUAGCAU
rnacentral:sRNA from 1 species